rnacentral:rRNA from 1 species
UAGUCCACGCUGUAAACGAUGAUCACUAGAUGUCCGGCGCUUCGGUGCUGGGUGUCCAGGCGAAAGCGAUAAGUGAUCCACCUGGGGAGUACGUUCGCAAGAAUGAAACUCAAAGGAAUUGACGGGGGCCCGCACAAGCGGUGGAGCAUGUGGUUUAAUUCGAUGAUACGCGAGGAACCUUACCAGGGCUUAAAUGCAUAACGAUCGUCAUGGAAACAUGAUUUUCUUCGGACGGAAUGCAAGGUGCUGCAUGGUUGUCGUCAGCUCGUGCCGUGAGGUGUCGGGUUAAGUCCCAUAACGAGCGCAACCCCUAUUCUUAGUUGCCAGCGGAUAAUGCCGGGGACUCUAAGAAAACUGCCAGUGUAAGCUGUGAGGAAGGUGGGGAUGACGUCAAAUCAUCACGGCCCUUACGUCCUGGGCUACACACGUGCUACAAUGGUCGGUACAGAGGGCAGCUACCUAGUGAUAGGAUGCAAAUCUCUAAAGCCGACCCUAGUUCGG